CGAAAGGAAGUCACAAAGAUCUGCUUCAAAAUAACCCCCUGCGCUGUCUCAGUCAUGAGGAGAAGCUUGCCGAGGAGCCAAGUUCUGCUGGUGAUGGUUCAAGGGGAUGUCAGCAAGGCUCCAAAGGAGGCGAGUGUGAUUCCAUCUCAACAGACACAGAUACAAGCAUGCACACAUACUAGCCUCAGGAGACACGGAGACAUGUGAGGAGAAGAGGGGCGAAUCAAAAACCUUUUCGAAAAUCUCUCCUCGUGACUGUAAUAGCUCUUGGUGCAGUUUGGAAGCCACCAGAUCCCAAUCAAGACUCCAAAGUCUUUAAGAAGCUACCAGCAGAUAGGCUCCACAAGGAUCUGCCUUCAGAACUUAGGGAAGAGGGGCAUAGCCAGCACCAA